rnacentral:rRNA from 1 species
ACACUGACGUCGCGAUGCAUAUCAAUAAGCGGAGGAAAAGAGACUAACAAGGAUUCCCCUAGUAACGGCGAGUGAAGCGGGAAGAGCUCAAAUUUGAAAUCUUAAAGGGUUUCCCUUUACGAAUUGUAGUUUAAAGAAGUGUUUUCUGUUGAGGUUUUGGUAAAAGUUCUUUGGAAUAGGACAUCAUAGAGGGUGAGAAUCCCGUAUUUGACCGUUACUUUCAGCUGUGUGAUACACUUUCAAAGAGUCGGAUUGUUUGGGAAUGCAGUCCAAAAUGGGUGGUAAAUUUCAUCUAAAGCUAAAUAUUGGCGAGAGACCGAUAGCGAACAAGUACCGUGAGGGAAAGACUGGAAAGAACUUUGAAAAGAGAGUUAAACAGUACGUGAAAUUGUCAAAAGGGAAGCGUUUGACACCAGUGUUGUUUUUCUGAAAAUCAAUUAAAGAACUGUUUAUGCUAAGUUGUUUAGACUUUAUCAGCUAACUGUUUAGUUUUGAGCUUUUCUUUAAUGCACUUUUCAGUUAACAAGUCAACAUCAAUUUCUUUUGCUGUAAAAAAGCUUGAGGAAGGUGGCUUGAGAUUCGUCUUAAGUGUUUAUAGCCUCUUGCCUAUGCAGUCGGAGAGAUUGAGAUCUGCAGCGUAGAUCCUUCGGGGCUAAAUGCAUUUGUGCUAAGUUAUAGCGUUUUAUAGACAACUUGUUGACUAUGAUUUGUCUUGUAGCUUACUCGCUUAUGUUAUUUUACCUACGCUUAGGAUGUUGAGUAGCGACAUACGCAC